AAGAAAAAGAAGAAAAAGAAAAAAUUGUUCCUUAGACAAAGAGUGAUGAAUUAGUUAUCAAAGAAUUAGAUGAAGAAAAAGAUAAAGCAAAAACGUGGAUACAAGACUACUUUGCAGAAGAUGAUGAUGAUGAUGAUGAUAAAGAUAAAGAUAAAGAUGAUGAUGGUGGUGAAAAAAAAGAUGAUAAUAAUAACACGAGUAAUAAUACCACUUCAACAGACAAAGGACAAUAAAAUCCACAAUUUUAUGAAAAAUAAAUUUUACUUACAACUUUUGCAGUCACUAUGCGACUGCCGUGACUUGUGAACUAUAAAUA